rnacentral:rRNA from 1 species
GCGCGUAGGCGGACUAUUAAGUCAGGGGUGAAAUCCCGGGGCUCAACCCCGGAACUGCCCUUGAUACUGGUAGUCUUGAGUUCGAGAGAGGUGAGUGGAAUUCCGAGUGUAGAGGUGAAAUUCGUAGAUAUUCGGAGGAACACCAGUGGCGAAGGCGGCUCACUGGCUCGAUACUGACGCUGAGGUGCGAAAGCGUGGGGAGCAAACA